rnacentral:rRNA from 1 species
GAUGAACGCUGGCGGCGUGCUUAACACAUGCAAGUCGAACGGGCAACCUUUUAUUGACUCUUCGGCAGUUUUGGCUGGCUUGUAAGGGCGGCCGGGGGAGUAGCGCAUGGGUACCCUGCCUUAUACAGGGGGAUAACCACAUGACAUAGUUGCUAAUCCCGCAUAAGCGCACUGGACCGCAUGUUCCGGUGUGAAAAACUCCGGCGGUAUAGGAUGGACCCGCGUUGGAUUAGCUAGUUGGCAGGGUAACGGCCUACCAAGGCGACGAUCCAUAGCCGGCCUGAGAGGGUGAACGGCCACACUGGGACUGAGACACGGCCCAGACUCCUACGGGAGGCAGCAGUGGGGAAUAUUGCACAAUGGGGGAAAGCCUGAUGCAGCGACGCCGCGUGAAGGAAGAAGUAUCUCGGUAUGUAAACUUCUAUCAGCAGGGAAGAUAGUGACGGUACCUGACGAAGAAGCCCCGGCUAACUACGUG